GACCUAACCCUUAGAUUUUUUCUAAGGUAUGGUCAAAAGUCAGGUAAUGAAUAAAGAACCCGUCAUGGGGUUGCAUUACCUGCCGUAUUGGGAAACUGAUACGAGAGAUUUCGGUCUCU
rnacentral:sRNA from 1 species